rnacentral:rRNA from 1 species
UUUUUUAAAUUGCUGUGGUAUUUUGACUAUACGAAGGUAUUGAAAUAAGAUUUUAAAUGAGUGCUAAGAGAAUGAUUAAACAAUUAAAGACUUUCUUUAAUUAAAGAAUUAAAUUUAAUUUUUUGAGUGCAAAAGCAAAAAUGAAAAUUAGGGACAAGAAGACCCUAUGAAUUUUUUAUUUAAUUUUUAAUUAUUUAAUUAUAAUUAAAUUUGAUUGGGGCGAUGGAAAAAGAAUAUAUAUCUUUUUUGGAUUAUAAUAAAUUGGUUCCGUUUUUAACGAUUAAAUGAAAAAAAUACUCUAGGGAUAACAGC